GGAGCCACGCUCCAGACAGGCCGCCGCUCCGGAGCGAGCCCGGGAGCCCGCCCGCGCCGGGACUUGCAGUUCGUCUCCGAUCCCCUGGGGAUUUAAACCUUCUUGCAUAUAUAUAUAUCUAUAUAUAUAAUUUUUUUUCCAUCCUUCUUUUUCUCCCGUGCAAAGUGGAGAAGGAACUGCACCAAGGCGGCCCGCGAGAUCUUGCAAUAUUGCUCCGAUUUACCACUGCUAUUAUUCGUAAUUAAUUAUUAUUUUUAACCUCACCCCAGCCGGGGAGGGAAAGCGGGACCAUUCCCAGCAAGAGAACCAUUUCGAUCCGUAUCAAUAAAGAUAUUUUUUUUUUUAAAUUCUCCCCCCUCCCCCUUUUUGAGAAGGGGGGAGAGGGUGGGGGGCGCGCAGAGCGGGGCGCGCAGCCGGCGAGCCGAGCGCUGCCCCCGGUCCCGGGGAGGCGGGCCCCAGCGCCGCCCGCCGCCGGGGGGGGCCAGCCGCCCCAGACAGGUGAUGGGCGUUUCGGCUGCGCUCCGGAUCGACUCCUUGGGUUUCACUUUGGUCUGAUCUAAGCAAAUAUGCAGAAGUACCGGCUGGUCUAGUCCUAAGAGCCAAGAGGAGCGAGCGAGAGGAGCAGAGGAGAGCGGCCACGCUCCCGUAGCGAGGGGAACGUACAAACAGCCGUAAUUAAGCCACCGCCGCCCCGAGGCAGCCCCGGCCCGCCCUGGAUGCGGAGGACCCCCGCGCCGCCCCGCCGCCUUUCCCCUGAGGGAUGGUACUGAAUUUCUGCGCGGCAGGAGCCGGCCUGCAGCUCCCCUCCAUCGGCGUCGCCUUCCCUCCGUGUCUAAAGUGCACUAGACCGCGAUGAGGACCUGGGCUUGCGUUUUGCUGAUAGGUUUUGGCUACCUGUCCUUUACCGUCUCCGAGGAGGCCGAGAUCCCGCAGGAGCUCAUCGAGCGGCUGGCGCACAGCGAGAUCCACAGCAUCCGCGACUUGCAGCGCCUCCUGGAGCUUGACUCCGUAGGAUAUGAUGAUGUUUCAGAAACAAACCUGAGACCUUAUAGCGUCCACUCUGCUAAACAUGUGCGAGAGAAUCGUCCUGUGCCCAUUCGCAGAAAAAGAAGCAUUGAGGAAGCCAUCCCGGCUGUCUGCAAAACUCGGACGGUUAUAUAUGAGAUACCUCGGAGUCAGAUUGAUCCCACCUCUGCCAACUUCCUGAUAUGGCCACCCUGCGUGGAGGUGAAACGUUGCACUGGCUGUUGCAACACCAGCAGUGUGAAAUGCCAGCCAUCACGGAUACAUCAUAGAAGUGUCAAGGUGGCAAAAGUGGAAUAUGUUAGAAAAAAGCCAAAAUUAAAAGAAGUUCUGGUGAGAUUAGAAGAGCAUAUGGAAUGCACCUGUACAUCAUCAAAUACUAAUUCAGAUUAUAGAGAAGAAGAAACUGGAAGGCCUAGGGAAUCAGGUAAAAAACGGAAACGAAAAAAGUUAAAACCAACAUAAAACCUACUGGAACUAUUUGAUAUUCAGAUUAACAGGUAUUUAUUGGGAGUAGUAUGAUAGAAGCAAAGAUUUUCUAAAAUUCAACUUUAAAAGUGAGCAUGUAAACUCAAUCAAAACAGCAUUUAGAACUUCUUGUCCCAGAUGUAAGGUGAAAAUAAGCUAGAAAAAAAACUUCUCUCUGGGACAUGGAUGUACAUGGUUUGUUACAUUCCUGAACCUACUAUGUAUGGUGCUUAUUGACUGUAUACUUUAUUUGUUCUCCUAUGUGAAAAAUGGCUCAAAAGAACACUUAAUGAGAACAAAGAGACAAUGUACAUUUGUUUAAUGUGACAUCAAAGCAAGUAUUGUAGCACUCUGUGAAACAAUAGGAAGCUUCCCUGUCCAAAAAAGAAAAAAAAUGAAAGAAAGAAAUGCAGAAAAGAAAAAAAGACAGUUGAAUGAAUGGAGGAUACCAAAAGUACUCAAAAAAUGACAAAAAUCUAAGUGAAUAGUGGAUUUCUGUCAGAGCAGUCAACGGUGCUUUACGUCAAGAAAUGUGCCUGCGUUCUUGAUGAAGAUGGAUGGACACUGAUGGACUUCAGGCACAAAAAAAGCAGGAAUGUAUGAAAUGAUCAAAUGCCACGCAAACACUAUAGAACAAUACAUCCUGGCUUGGUGGUGUUUUAAAAGUCUAUUCAGAAAACCUUCUGGGGAGCCUUAAGUGGAUUUUUUUUUUUACACCAUAAAGUGAUUAUUAAGUUUUCUUUUUACUUUUUGCCUAGCUUUUUAUUAUCUCUUGGACUACAUUUGCCAAUAACACAUAUAAAAGACUGGUAUAACAAUAAGCAGAACACAAAACAUUAUGGUAUUUCUCCUAGUGGGAUGCAAACUAAUGAGAUGUAUUAAAAUAAAAAUGGUAUACCUAUGCAUAAUUUUCUAGACGUUUCUUGGUUUAUGUUCCCCAACCUCCCCCGUAAUUUAAAGCAUUACAUAAAAAGAAAAAAAGAGAAAAAAAGAGAGAUGUGCGUAAACAAAUCAUAGGAUAUCCAUGCAAAAAUCCUUUUUUUUUUUUCCUUUAAGACUUAUGCCAGUUGCCUACUAGUGAUGUUGUGUUAGCAAUUGUCAUUCUUAUCAGUAUACAGAUACUUUUAUUUCACCUGUUGGAGCUGUGUGAAAUGUACAAAUUCUUGUAUCUGCAUUGUACAAUGUCAUGGUGGCAUGGGAACUACCUUGCUGCAAAUAUUUGAACAAAACCUAAAAUUCUUUAUUUUUGGUAAAAUGUUAUGCUUUAUGUGUAUUCAACAGAAAUAUGUGUUUUUGUAAAGGUGAAGUUUGUAUUUUUAUCUAAAAAUUAACAGUUUUAUAUACCUGAGAAAGCCUGCUAUGUUUUCUUGAACCAAAAAAAAAAAAAAGAAAAAAAUUAAAAAAAAGAGCAUUUUGUGGUCAUAUUUUUGUAGUAGAAUAGCCCAAAUAACAUCAAAAUCUAUUUGAACUAUAGCAGGGCAGAUAAAAGACUCUGGCACCAGCUCCUGUGUUUUCAAAGUGCCAAAGGAUUAAAUGUUCAGUUCCCCACGGAUUGCAGUGGGAGCCACAUGGCUGAAUCCUUCUGUACUGCUUUGGAAAUUUAGGGCUGUGCCAGAUACGACAUGGCUACUCACUUGGCCAAAAUCGCUGCCCCGCCCCAGUAGUUUGGAUUACGUACCCUUUGUUUUGGUUGGAUUAUCACAUUGGAUAUGUAAAAUGAACUACUGGAUUCUUCCAGUUGUGAAACAUCUAAAGAGAUGAAAGAGUUUCCUUAGUUUGGAACGACUAAAAAGUUUGUCUUGAAGACAGUGUUUCCACUCAAAUAAAAAGAUAUCUUUAAAUGUGAAUGAACUGCAGAACCUUAAAACAACAAGAGAGAAAGAUAUUUUAACCUUUCCAUUUUGUUAAAUAUAGUUCAAACAUUCCCCUCCUGUUCCUGUAGCCAUGUCCAAUUUCAGCCACACAAAGCAAUGUUAGCUAACAGGCGUUAUUGGCUUCAGAUGCUAAUGCAGAGAUAGAGUUAGCCACCGGUCUAUUUUGUGAUCAUUUUCCCAGUGUAUUUGUUGAGCACCAAAACUGGAAAUACAUUUAACUGAGAUUGUCUGUGCUUGUUUUCCACUAAGUGUACUGUUCACGAUGUUAUGCACAUGAAUGUAUGUGUCUGCGUUUAAAAAAGUGUAUAAAAUGUAAUUUAUAUAUUUAUGUUUCAGUGGGAUGCCAAUAAUGUUGCUCCGUUCCUUUUUUGUCUAAAAGAUAUCUAAUGAAAAAACCAUAUAUCCAUUAAAAUCAUGUAGAUGAAAAGCAUUAUGUGACCCACUCAGACACUGUGCAGGUAUGAAAGGAUGUCAAAGUCACUUAAGUGGAAUAAUUUGCAAAACAACCUUUUGAGAGUCCUAUGGUUGCACUGGCCUGAGAAGGUUGCGUUCGGACCUGUGGGCCAGCUUCCCUGGAGUAACUCCGUUGAGCUUAAUGGAGUUCUGCUGAUUUACAUCACGAGCGAGUCUGGCCCUAUAUUAAAGUCUUGAAAAAAAGGCAAACUGAGAGGCAUGCAUUUGAUCGGUGCCAGCAAAUAAAUGUGUUAUGCCAAAUUCAGAAAACCAGGAGAGAAUGAAGACUGAAUGUAUUCUUUCCCAGUAGUUGUUUGUUUGAGUCUUGUAGUCUCGAGUUAAUUUUGUUACCAGGAAUGAAAUGCACGAGAGUCUUUGUUCUCAAGCGCAGUGUUUACACGGCAUGCAGCAGAAAACACAAAAAUCUCAGGGCUAUAUUCUCAGCUAGUAUAAAUUGGCAAAUGUUUUUGACUUCAGCUGCCCCUAAGCUAAUUUACAUCAGAUGAGGAUCCAGUCUGCGGUUUUUAAAAUACAAGGAGAGUGUCAUGACAUAGGUGUCAUUUACUGUCGUCCAGCUGAGGUAUUACCUGCUGGCCUUUCGAACGCCACAGGCUAUGGUGUUAGUCCUCCUUCUCCAAGGUGGCAGAUACAAUCAGAAGGAACAGUAACGUUUUAAAGGUUGUGACACAGGAGACAUUAAUUCAAAGUUAAGUUGGACAUUUCAAGGGCCAUAUCCUCAGCUGGUGUAAAUCACCAUCACUCCAUUGCCUGCAAUGGAGCUGUACCAGCUUACACCACUUGAGGGGCUGGUCCCUCAUUCUUGCUCAUCCCUUUCACUACUCGGUCCUGCAGGGAUCUCAGAUUGUCGUGUACUGUUAAUGUAAUCCUGUGUUCUCUAAUACUUAAGCACAAUAAGUGAAUAUAAGAAUGGGUGUCAGACUUAACUUUGAAUGUCCAAGCUCUGAAAUGGUUUGUUUCACCAUUGUGGCUGUAAAUUAAACAGUUCUCUGUG